UACGGAGGGUGCAAGCGUUAUCCGGAUUUACUGGGUUUAAAGGGUGCGUAGGUGGGUAGGUAAGUCAGUGGUGAAAUCUUCGAGCUUAACUCGGAAACUGCCAUUGAUACUAUUUAUCUUGAAUACUCUGGAGGUAAGCGGAAUAUGUCAUGUAGCGGUGAAAUGCUUAGAUAUGACAUAGAACACCAAUUGCGAAGGCAGCUCACUAAGCCAAUUAUUGACGCUGAGGCACGAAAGCGUGGGUAGCGAACAGG
rnacentral:rRNA from 1 species